UAUUUUGGCAGAAAAGUGCCAUGAAUUUAGAAUUCAUAUAUGUAAUUAAUGUUACAAUUAGUA
rnacentral:tRNA from 2 species